rfam:Gloeobacter kilaueensis JS1, complete genome.
GGGCGUAUAACUCAGCGGCUAGAGUGCGAUCUUCACACGGUCGAAGUCACUGGUUCGAAUCCAGUUACGCCCA